GGGGAAUAUUGGACAAUGGGCGAAAGCCUGAUCCAGCCAUGCCGCGUGAGUGAUGAAGGCCUUAGGGUUGUAAAGCUCUUUUGUCAGGGAAGAUAAUGACGGUACCUGAAGAAUAAGCACCGGCUAACUUCGUGCCAGCAGCCGCGGUAAUACGAAGGGUGCUAGCGUUGUUCGGAAUCACUGGGCGUAAAGCGCGCGUAGGCGGCUUAUCAAGUCAGAGGUGAAAGCCUGGAGCUUAACUCCAGAACUGCCUUUGAAACUGUUAAGCUGGAGUGUCGGAGGGGAUAGCGGAAUUGCUAAUGUAGAGGUGAAAUUCGUAGAUAUUAGCAGGAACACCGGUGGCGAAGGCGGCUAUCUGGACGACAACUGACGCUGAGGCGCGAAAGCGUGGGGAUCAAAC
rnacentral:rRNA from 1 species